UACGAAGGGGGCUAGCGUUGCUCGGAAUCACUGGGCGUAAAGGGCGCGUAGGCGGCCUGUUAAGUCGGACGUGAAAUCCCUCGGCUCAACCGGGGAACUGCGUCCGAUACUGGCGGGCUUGAAUUCGGGAGAGGGAUGUGGAAUUCCAGGUGUAGCGGUGAAAUGCGUAGAUAUCUGGAGGAACACCGGUGGCGAAGGCGGCAUCCUGGACCGACAUUGACGCUGAGGCGCGAAAGCCAGGGGAGCAAACGGG
rnacentral:rRNA from 1 species